AUACGGAGGGGACUAGCGCUGUUCGGAAUUACUGGGCGUAAAGCGUACGUAGGCGGAUCAGAAAGUAUGGGGUGAAAUCCCAGGGCUCAACCCUGGAACUGCCUCAUAAACUCCUGGUCUUGAGUUCGAGAGAGGUGAGUGGAAUUCCGAGUGUAGAGGUGAAAUUCGUAGAUAUUCGGAGGAACACCAGUGGCGAAGGCGGCUCACUGGCUCGAUACUGACGCUGAGGUACGAAAGUGUGGGGAGCAAACAGGAUUAGAUACCCCAGUAGUCC
rnacentral:rRNA from 1 species